UGCCUACGGGAGGCAGCAGUGAGGAAUAUUGGUCAAUGGGCGCGAGCCUGAACCAGCCAAGUCGCGUGAGGGAUGACGGCCCUACGGGUUGUAAACCUCUUUUGCCGGGGAGCAACGGGCGCCACGUGUGGCGCCACUGAGAGUACCCGGAGAAAAAGCAUCGGCUAACUCCGUGCCAGCAGCCGCGGUAAUACGGAGGAUGCGAGCGUUAUCCGGAUUUAUUGGGUUUAAAGGGUGCGCAGGCGGCGAGUUAAGUCAGCGGUAAAAUUUCGGGGCUCAACCCCGACGAGCCGUUGAAACUGGCU
rnacentral:rRNA from 1 species